AAUCAACGCUGGCGGCGUGCCUCAGACAUGCAAGUCGAACGCGAAAGUUUCCUUCGGGAGACAAGUAGAGUGGCGCACGGGUGAGUAACACGUAGGUAAUCUACCUUUGGAUGGGGAAUAACAACCGGAAACGGUUGCUAAUACCGCAUAAUGCAGCGGCACCUAAUGGUGACAGUUGUUAAAGCGGGGGAUCGAAAGACCUCGCGUCUGAAGAGGAGCCUGCGGCGGAUUAGCUAGUUGGUAAGGUAACGGCUUACCAAGGCUACGAUCCGUAACCGGCCUGAGAGGGCGGUCGGUCGCACUGACACUGACAUACGGGUCAGACUCCUACGGGAGGCAGCAGUCGGGAAUUUUGGGCAAUGGGCGAAAGCCUGACCCAGCAACGCCGCGUGAAGGAUGAAAUCCCUCGGGAUGUAAAC
rnacentral:rRNA from 1 species